UCCAUGAAGUCGGAAUCGCUAGUAAUCGUAGAUCAGAAUGCUACGGUGAAUACGUUCCCGGGCCUUGUACACACCGCCCGUCACACCAUGGGAGUGGGUUGCAAAAGAAGUAGGUAGCUUAACCUUCGGGAGGGCGCUUACCACUUUGUGAUUCAUGACUGGGGUGAAGUCGUAACAAGGUAACCGUAGGGGAACCUGCGGUUGGAUCACCUCCUUACCUAAGAGA
rnacentral:rRNA from 1 species